CAAAGAUUAAGCCAUGCAUGUGACUGCUGGCUGGAUC
rnacentral:rRNA from 1 species